rnacentral:misc_RNA from 1 species
GAUGAAGAACGUAGUGAAAUGCGAUAAGUAAUGUGAAUUGCAGAAUUCAGUGAAUCAUCGAAUCUUUGAACGCACAUUGCGCCCGCCAGUAUUCUGGCGGGCAUGCCUGUUCGAGCGUCAUUACAACCCUCAGGCCCCCGGGCCUGGCGGUGGGGAUCGGCGGAGCCCCCCGUGGGCACACGCCGUCCCCCAAAUGCAGUGGCGGUCCCGCCGCAGCUUCCAUCGCGUAGUAGCUAACACCUCGCGACUGGAGAGCGGCGCGGCCACGCCGUAAAACACCCAACUCUUCUGAAGUUGACCUCGAAUCAGGUAGGAAUACCCGCUGAACUUAAGCAUAUCAAUAAGCGGAGGA